ACUCAGUGAAAUUGAACUCGCUGUGAAGAUGCAGUGUACCCGCGGCAAGACGGAAAGACCCCGUGAACCUUUACUAUAGCUUGACACUGAACAUUGAGCCUUGAUGUGUAGGAUAGGUGGGAGGCUUUGAAGUGUGGACGCCAGUCUGCAUGGAGCCGACCUUGAAAUACCACCCUUUAAUGUUUGAUGUUCUAACGUUGAC
rnacentral:rRNA from 1 species